rnacentral:lncRNA from 1 species
UAUAUCUAUUCUAUUGAUUGAAUAAGUGAUGAUCCAAUGGUUCUUACUCAAAGAAUCUUUGGACUUAGUUUGAAGGUUUUAUUGAAUCAUCGCGGUUCUGGUAUGAAUCUGAAGUUUCAAUUGAUUCAUAGGGUCUUAACAAGAGAAUUCCUAUCAAAAAGAAAGAAAACAAGAAUAAAGCCACAUUUCAUACAAAGAACAAAUCAAAGCAAAGAAAAAGAAAUAAGUAGGUAAAUAGAAGAUUCAAGAGGUCUGUAACGAUCAACAUAAAGACGACUGCGCUGACUUGAUUUUUUGGCAUUAUAAUUACAACUACAAAAAAGAGCUUUCGGAUUUUCACUCUUUUGUGUCUUCAGAUAAAAUUGAAUGAAAAGAUUAAGAAGUUUCAAACUUUCUAUUCCAUAUCCGUUUCAGCUAUUACUUGGGUGUUUUUGUUUGAGCUGUACGAGAUGAAAUUCUCAUAUACGGUUCUCGGGGGGGGUCCUCUUGGUUUACCUAUCUCAAUAAAGUCUAUGAUUGGUUCGAAGAGCGCCUCGAAAUUCAGGCGAUUGCAGAUGAUAUAACUAGUAAAUAUGUUCCUCCUCAUGUUAACAUAUUUUAUUGUCUAGGGGGAAUUACGCUUACUUGUUUUUUGGUACAAGUAGCUACAGGAUUUGCUAUGACUUUUUACUAUCGUCCAACCGUUACUGAGGCUUUUGCUUCUGUUCAAUACAUAAUGACUGAAGCUAACUUUGGUUGGUUAAUCCAAUCAGUUCAUCGAUGGUCGGCAAGUAUGAUGGUCUUAAUGAUGAUCCUGCACGUAUUUCGUGUCUAUCUCACUGGUGGUUUUAAAAAACCUCGCGAAUUAACUUGGGUUACAGGCGUGGUUCUGGCUGUGUUGACCGCAUCUUUUGGUGUAACAGGUUAUUCCUUACCUCGGGACCAAGUUGGUUAUUGGGCAGUCAAAAUCGUAACAGGCAUUCCGGACGCUAUUCCGGUAAUAGGAUCGCCUUUGGUAGAGUUAUUACGUGGAAGUGCUAGUGUGGGACAAUCCACUUUGACCCGUUUUUAUAGUUUACACACUUUUGUAUUACCCCUUCUUACUGCUGUAUUUAUGUUAAUGCAUUUCCUAAUGAUACGUAAGCAAGGCAUUUCUGGUCCUUUAUAGAGAAUAUAGACCAUAGCUAUAUUGUAACCAAUAAUUUAUCUUAUUACUUGGGGGAGGAACAAUAGUAUUUCAUUGCUACAAAUAUGGAUUAUUGAAAAAAAUAAGACAUGUAUUUGGAUAUUUCCUUUCAACUACAACAAUAUUCUAUUAUUUAUUUGAUAUGACAUGAAUAGUUGAAGGGAAUUCCCCGAAGAGAAAAUGGAUUAUGGGAGUGUGUGACUUGAACUAUUGAUUGGCCCGUGCAGAAAUAUGCCUUUAUCUGCUACAUUGGAAUUCACAACCAAAUGUGUCUUUGUUUCAACCACCGUGUAAGCCCCAUACAAAGGAUAGGCUGGUUCGCUUGAAGAGAAUCUUUUCUAUGAUCAGACCUGACGAUGUUGUGUAUAAAUAGGGCUCCGUAAGAUCCAGUAGAAUAAGUGAUUUGGCAUAAUCCAAAUUAGAUUUUAGUUUUUUUUUUUACUUUCUUAUCUUAAUAGUAUGAAAAUGCAUUCAUUUCUUCUGCAUCGACCCCAUUUAAUUAUACUAUCAGAGUCAAACAAGGGAUCUAAAGAAGAGCAAAGGCUAGACUAUAUUAGUAACAAGUAAAUCCUUUGUAUGUAAAAAAUCUCGAUAUAUUUUUGGGAUAAAGGUGAAUCGCAAGGCCUAAGACGACCCAUAAAGCACUUGAUCACGAUCAACUUUGUACGCCUACUUGGGUAUUGAGCAUUUACCUAUAAAAAUGAAAUUCCUUGGAAUGUAUAAUUGUAACUCCGUAAAAUGGAAUCGGGUACCUUUUUUCUUACAUACGGAACCAUUCAUAUAUGUGGGGAUAACAUAUAGAUUUAUUUUAAACACAUAGAAUAUAGAUUUAUUUUAUAGGUAUCCGUUUGUAUCCAUUUGAUUCGAUUGACUUUUGCUUGAGCCGGAUGAUGAAAAAUUAUCAUGUCCGGUUCCUUUGGGGGAUGGAUCUAGAAAAAUUCACCUAUCCUAAUAACAAAAAAACCUGACUUGAACGAUCCUGUAUUAAGAGCUAAAUUAGCUAAAGGUAUGGGUCAUAAUUAUUAUGGGGAACCCGCAUGGCCCAAUGAUCUUUUAUAUAUUUUUCCAGUAGUAAUUCUCGGUACUAUUGCUUGUAAUGUGGGCUUAGCGGUUCUAGAACCUUCAAUGAUUGGUGAACCCGCGGAUCCAUUUGCAACUCCUUUGGAAAUAUUACCUGAAUGGUAUUUCUUUCCUGUAUUUCAAAUACUUCGUACAGUACCUAACAAGUUAUUGGGUGUUCUUUUAAUGGUUUCAGUACCCGCGAGAUUAUUAACAGUACCGUUUUUGGAAAAUGUUAAUAAAUUCCAAAAUCCAUUUCGUCGUCCAGUAGCGACAACCAUUUUUUUGAUUGGUACUGCAGUAGCCCUUUGGUUGGGUAUUGGAGCAACAUUACCGAUUGAUAAAUCCCUAACUUUAGGUCUUUUUUAAAUUGAAUCAAUUAAAAAAAAUAUCAUGAUGUGCGUAUCUAGGGAGUAGUCACUUCAAAGGAAAAGUGAAUUCUCCCUAGAUACAUUUAUUCAAUUCUGGUCCGAAUCUAUGGAUUGUGCUGAAGGUUCAAAAUCCAUUGGAUUCAAACUUUUGAUAAAUCAAUUUCGAAAUGCUUUUUCUACUUCUUUUCUAGAAUGCCCAGUAUUUGUUUUACAUCUUCUAUGCGAAAGUGUUCAAUUUUCAUAAGGUCUUCUCGACUGUUAUUCAAAAGGUCCAAUAAUGUAUGUAUAUUGGACUUUUUGAGACAAUUAUAGAUCCUGGGAGGCAAUUCUGAUUGGUCAAUAAAAAUCGAUUUCAAUGCUAUUUCUUUUUUCUUUUUUGUUAGUUUAACUAAUCUAUCAUGAAACGGAAAAAAAGGUAAAGUAACAUCGUGUUGAUUGUUUUCUAAAUGGAAGUUUUCUUCUUCCGCAUGUAGAAAAGGAAUAAAUAAAUCAAUCAAAUUGCGAGAGGCUUCAUGAAGUGCUUCUUUCGGAGUUAAACUUCCAUUUGUCCAUAUUUCUAGAAAAAGUAUCUCCUGUUUUUCAUUAUCAUUCCCAUAACAAUGAAUACUAUGAUUCGCAUUUCGAACAGGCAUGAAUACAGCAUCUAUAGGAUAACUUCCGCCGUGAAAGUUCUUUGGCAUUUUUAUACCGUAUCCUCUAUUUCUCUCGAUUUGUAAUCCAAUACACAAAUCAAUUGGUUCGGUUAGGCUGGCUACAUGCUGUGUAUUAUCAACGAUUUCCACAGAAGGUGGUAAGAUGAUGUCUUGAGCAGUUACAUAUCCGGGACCCUUGGCACAAAUAAAGGCGUUACGAGUUCCAUACAAAUUCCCUCUCAAUACAAUUUCUUUCAAAUUCAUUAAAAUUUCAUGGACUGAUUCUUGAAUACCUACUAUGGUAGAAUAUUCGUGGGGUAUUUUCUCAGAUUUUGCACGUGUAAUGCAUGUUCCUUCUAGUUCUCCAAGCAAAGCUCUUCGCAUCGCAAUGCCUAUUGUGUCGGCUUGGCCUUUCAUAAGUGGAGACAGAAUAAAGCGUCCAUAAUAAAAGGCGCUUACUAUAUGUUCUUGAUUCAACACACUUCCACUGUCGUGUCCGAGUCGAAGUAGAGACUUUUACUUUCUCUCGAACCAUAGUAAUAUUAUUUUAUUUGAUCAGAUCAUUGAAUCAUUUAUUUCUUGAAUCUAUCCAUUCUGGAUCCAAAAAUGACCCCUCCCACGAAUUUUUCAGAUUUUGAGACACAUUCAAUAAUAUAGAAGUAUAAGUUGCCAAAAUGAAAAUAAAAAAAAUUAGAGGGGGGUCAGUCAAACUUCUGUAAUCUGUAAUGUAACUUGAAUGAAAUAAAUAGAAUUUGAAUGAUGAAUGAAAAGAAAAUAAUAAAAUCGAAAUCAUAAUAAAAAAAAUGAAAUUCUAAAUAAUUAAAUUAAAUUAUUAAUUUUUCUAUUUAACUUUAACUUAAAUUAAAUAAUAAUAACUUAAAUUAAAUAAUAAAAAAUUCUAAAUAGACUAAAUAUAAAUAAUAACUAAAUAAUAACUAAAUAGAAAUAAUAAUAUAUAUAAUAAUAUUAUAAGAAUAAUAUAAUAAUAGAUAAUAAUAGAUAAUACAAUAAUAGAUAGAAUAAUAAAAUAAAUAAUAUAGAAAUAUAGAUUUAUAAAUCGAAAUAUAUUAAUAUAAAUAUAAUAAUAUAAAUAUUAUUAAUUACUUAAUAUUAAUAACAAAUAAUAUAAAUUAAUAUUAAUUGCUAAUAACUUGUAAUUUGAUUAUUUGAUAAGCAUUUGAAUUGUUAUAUAAUUUCGAUUGUUAAUUGGUUUAGUAGUGGAAUUUGAUAAAAUCGCCCUGAACUGAAGAAAGUAUCUAUCCUAGCUCUGACCAAAUAUUCUUUCGUAUCAAGAAUCAAGAACGAAAAUGCGGAUAUAGUCCAAUGGUAAAAUUUCUCUUUGCCAAAGAGAAGACGUGGGUUCGAUUCCCGCUAUCCGCCCAGAGCAAUGUAUUUAAGAUAAGAGGAUAAAAGAUUCGUUAUAGUUGACUGUAAAUAGUUGACUGGAAUUGGAAUAUAAUACACCCCCUAAAAGAAAAAAUGACUAGUUAAUAGGGUCAAGUCUAAUUUUUUUUGUCAAAAAAAUGUAAUGUUGCGGGAACGGGAUUUGAACCCAUGACCUCAAGGUUAUGAGCCUUGCGAGCUACCAAACUGCUUUAUCCCGUGAUGAAAAGAAACCAAACUAAUGGACAAACAAAGAUUGAAUGCGCCCCUCUUCCAUAUAUGUACAAAUAGAAUAGCCUAUUUAUACAGAAUGGUAAAGGGGCCCCUCUAUGAUCAUCGAUCAUAGAAAUAAAUAGAAAAGGGAAGGGAUAUUUUAAUCCUUACCAACUUGAUCUUGUUGCCCCCGGCAACAAACAUGCAUGAACCAUUUCACGAAGUAUGUGUCCGAAUAGUCGAAAGUCUCGAUAGUUAGCUCUCGGUCUUCCGGUCGAAAAGCAACGUCGAUGAAGACGUGUGGGUGCGCUAUUUCGUGGUGAGGAUUGUAACUUUCCAUGAAUUUUCCAUUUCUCACUCAACGACGGAACUUUGCUUAUUUCUUUUUUUGAGGAUCGACGAAUCAAAUGAUAUUUUUGUUCCAAUUUUUGCCUCUUCUUCUCCCUAUGAAUCAAACUUUUCUUUGCCAUAAUGGUUCAGUUCCUAUUAUUAUCAAUGAUACAAGUCGGAUCCUAGAUGUAGAAAUAGAAGGGGGCAUACCCCCUACUCCAUCGAAAGAGAUGAUAUUAUCACAGAUACAGCGCAUAACAUAAGGAAUUAACCAAAUUUGCCCGAUGUAGAGGCAAUCAAGAAAGCCGCAUAAGUAAAUAUAUAACCUACAGAAAAGUGGGCUAAUCCAACCAAUCUUGCCUGCACAAUAGAAAGAGCCACUGGUUUAUCUCUCCAUCGAAUCAAAUUAGCUAAAGGUGUGCGUUCAUGAGCCCAUGCUAAAGUUUCAAUCAAUUCUUGCCAAUAUCCACGCCAAGAAAUUAAGAACAUAAAUCCGGUAGCCCAAACAAGAUGUCCAAAUAAGAACAUCCACGCCCAGACUGAUAAACUAUUCAUACCAAAUGGGUUAUACCCAUUGAUGUAUUUUAAAAAUUUUAUCUGUCGGGACUGACGGGGCACGAACCCGCAGCUUCCGCCUUGACAGGACGGUGCUCUGACCAAUUGAACUACAAUCCCAGGGAAAUAAAGAAAAGCGUACAACAUAGAUAGUCUUACGAUUUCAUUCAAGCCAUUCUCUAUUUAGAUUUUAGAUUCGAAGCCGGGUUGUAACAAACAAAGGCGCGAGUGAUAUAUUGAUAUCCAUACGGGUAUGCACUUUGAGUGAGAGCGACGAGGAUUCCUAGUUACUAGGAAUCCUUUCGUUAUUGCCAAAUAAAUCGAUCAAUAAUCAAUUUGAAAACAAAAAAGAGUCUUCUUUUUUGUUUACUUUACUCCUUUUCUUUUCAUUAAACUUUCUAUUUAAUGAUCCUGAUAUGAAUCUAGAGCAUUAUCAAGGUCAUAAUUUAUGGGAACAACUAAAUAAAUAGAACAAAAUAAAAAACAAAUAGCGGUAGGGAUGGAUAUAUCACAAAAUUGGACUUUUUUUAUUCUUCCCUAAUUUUUUUGUUUGGCUUUUCGGGAAAACAAAAUACAAAAAAUGGGCAUUUUAGGUUAUGGCGGAUCAGCGAAUUAUUGGGCCGAGCUGGAUUUGAACCAGCGUAGACAUAUUGCCAACGAAUUUACAGUCCGUCCCCAUUAACCGCUCGGGCAUCGACCCAGGAAGAAUCAAUUCUAGGUUUAUUGAUAAUCCAUGAUCAACUUCCUUUCGUAGUACCCUACCCCCAGGGGAAGUCGAAUCCCCGCUGCCUCCUUGAAAGAGAGGUGUCCUGAACCGCUAGACGAUGGGGGCAUACUUGCCUGACCGCGACCAUACUAUGCUCAUAGUAUGAACAGUUUUUUGAAAUUGUCAAUAUAAUGGAAUGACUAGAGCCGAAAGCUUUUUCCAUCUUUUAUGAUUUUCCAUAUUUUAUUCACGAUUUAUACUCAGUAAAUCAUUCAUUUUAAUCGCCACUCUAUUCGAUAUAGAAAUAAAUUAGAUAAAUUCAAUCUAUUAUAUAAAUAUUUAUUAGAAAUAAAUAGAUAUUAUAAAAAGAAACUAGAUUAAUAAUACAAAGUAUAAGAUCAGUGAUUGGUUUAACAUAAACAUAAAAAAGGGAGUUAACCUUCAUUUUUUCCACUUUCAUUCAUUGAUUCACUCAUUAUUACGACGAGACAGGCAUGUUUCUAUCUCACACUAAGCCGGUAAAUUAACAAAAAGUAAAUCGGGAAUUUUUGGAAGAGGCAGCAAGAAGUUAUCAAAAAUUAUGUGUGUGUUUUUUUUCUAAAAAUUGGGUUCGGUGGACAAAGCAAAUCCCUUCAUCACAUGUUUCGAUAAACUAGAUUGGAUCUAUGUCGAAUUGCUAAGGUACAUGUAUUAAUCAAAUAAAUGAAUUUCGUUCUGUUCUGAUAAGCCAAUUAUGAUUGGCCUUGAAACAGUUUAUUGCAUUGAUACAAACCCAAUAUCAAUAAAACCAUUUUACCCUCUACACGUUAAGUAAAUUAGAAUUCUCAUUCCUAAGAGCUACUAGCCACUAUGAGUCUACUGCAUAUACUUAUAUAUAUAAAUAGAUCUUAUCCGUCUACUGAUUCAUUCAGUAAUUGAGUCAAACCGCCCUUUUAACUCAGUGGUAGAGUAAUGCCAUGGUAAGGCGUAAGUCAUCGGUUCAAAUCCGAUAAGGGGCUUUUGACUUUUUUUUUCAUAAAACUCCUAUAAAAUGGUAGUAUUCAUAUUGAAACAUAAGGAUGUUGUUUUUAUUGGUAAUAAAAACCCAACUGUAUAUGUAUAAUAAUUGAGUUAGAAAUUGUAUAAUUUAACUCUAAUAAGUUAUUAUUCUAAUGAGUUAGAGUAGAGGAAUUCUAAAAGAAAGUUGAAAUUAUAAUGAAUAAUGAUAAGCCGUCUCUUGAAGCGACAAAUAUAUAUUUUGUUUUGAUUUUGAAUUAGAUUAUUCCAAUCAAAUCCAUUGUAAAGAAUUGUAAAGAUUAGAAAUCAACAAAAGAAAAAGUAAGUGGAUCUAACCCAUUGAAUCGUGACUAUAUCCACUAUUCUGAUAUUAAAAUUCGAUAGAGAUGAAAUUGGAACAGUCGAUUUCUUUUUAUUUCAUAUUUAUUUGGACUCCACAAGAAUCUGUCGAUAUUUCCGAUUCAAUCUUCUUGUUCCUAGGAAUAAAUUAAUAUUCUAUUCCUUUCUAGAUAAAGAGAAACAUUUAUUUCAAGUUACAACCUAAGAGCCUUUUUCAACAUCUUAUCUUUCUUUGAUUCCAGAACACAACAAGAUCCAUCUCUAUCUAUAUAUUCUAUCUAUUCUAUAAUAGAUAGAAACCUAAAUCAAAUCAUGUCUUCACAUAUCAAAUAUUUCCAUAUCGAUACAUAUGACACUUUUGUUCUGCCAAUGUGAUGGAGAGUGAGUGCGAAAAAGAAACUUUCAUUUUGAGUCUCCUAUUAUUUAAUUUAAUAUUAUUAAAUAUUGUAUUAGAUUGAAAAAUAGGAACUUCGAAUCUUUUUCUAUUUACUUUAUGUAUAUCAGAAAAAGAUUCGAAGUGGAUUUCUCGACCCGUGAAAUGAAAAACUAGCCUAUGGAGUUUUUUUGUUUUAUAUUCAUCUGAAGGAAAUAUGAGAAAGAAAACAAUAAAUAAAAGAAAUAAAAUGAAGGAAAUAUAUAUCAGACUAUAGUAAUUUAAUACACAUAGAAAUUAUAAAAAUACAUAAAAAUAUUGAUUUUUAUCAAUUUCACGAACAAGAUCCAAGAAUAAGAUUAGUUGAUGGAGGGGGAGAGGUAGAUCUGGAGAUCAACCAGUAGCGAGAGAAGGGAUCGCUUCUUCCUUGAAUUGAAGAGUUCAUUCAAAAAAUUCAUCUAUCUGAUUGAUGAGCCAUAAGACAAUUCAUGGUUCAGACGACUAGUAAAAAUAGAAAAGAAUAAACGAAUUGAGUUCAUGGAUUUACCUAAGUCAGGUUAUGGACCAAUACAAGACAAUAUUUUUUUAUAUUCGAAACCAAUUAAUUAUAAGGNNNNNNNNNNNNNNNNNNNNNNNNNNNNNNNNNNNNNNNNNNNNNNNNNNNNNNNNNNNNNNNNNNNNNNNNNNNNNNNNNNNNNNNNNNNNNNNNNNNNNNNNNNNNNNNNNNNNNNNNNNNNNNNNNNNNNNNNNNNNNNNNNNNNNNNNNNNNNNNNNNNNNNNNNNNNNNNNNNNNNNNNNNNNNNNNNNNNNNNNNNNNNNNNNNNNNNNNNNNNNNNNNNNNNNNNNNNNNNNNNNNNNNNNNNNNNNNNNNNNNNNNNNNNNNNNNNNNNNNNNNNNNNNNNNNNNNNNNNNNNNNNNNNNNNNNNNNNNNNNNNNNNNNNNNNNNNNNNNNNNNNNNNNNNNNNNNNNNNNNNNNNNNNNNNNNNNNNNNNNNNNNNNNNNNNNNNNNNNNNNNNNNNNNNNNNNNNNNNNNNNNNNNNNNNNNNNNNNNNNNNNNNNNNNNNNNNNNNNNNNNNNNNNNNNNNNNNNNNNNNNNNNNNNNNNNNNNNNNNNAUAGAUCUGCUUCUCUUUUUCUUCUGAGCCGAAUUCUCGUAAUUCUAAUGGAAUAGAACAAAUAUUAAUCCUUUCUCCGAAAGAAUCCAUCGAAAAGGGGAGGUAUUCCAAUGCAAUAAAGUACAGUGUCUAUUGUUCGUGAUAAAGGGGUAUUUCCAUGGGUUUCCCUUGGUAUCGUGUUCAUACUGUCGUAUUGAAUGAUCCCGGUCGCUUGCUUUCUGUUCAUAUAAUGCAUACGGCUCUGGUUGCUGGUUGGGCCGGUUCAAUGGCUCUAUAUGAAUUAGCCGUUUUUGAUCCCUCCGAUCCCGUUCUUGAUCCAAUGUGGAGACAAGGUAUGUUCGUUAUACCCUUCAUGACUCGUUUAGGAAUAACCAAUUCAUGGGGCGGUUGGAGUUUACAGGGGGACUAUAACACAUUCGGGUAUUUGGAGUUACGAAGGUGGUGGCCGAGCACAUAUUGUGUGUUUUCUGGCUUGUGCUUUCUUGGCAGCUAUUUGGCAUUGGUAUAUUGGGAUCUAGAAAUUUUUUGUGAUGAGCGCACAGGAAAACCUUCUUUGGAUUUGCCCAAGAUUUUGGAAUUCAUUUAUUUCUCUCAGGAGUGGCUUGCUUUGGCUUUGGCGCAUUUCAUGUAACAGGAUUGUAUGGUCCUGGAAUAUUGGGUGUCAGGACCUUAUGGACUAACUGGCAAGGUCCAACCUGUAAAUCCGGCGUGGGCGUGGAAGGUUUUGAUCCUUUGUUCCGGGAGGAAUAGCCUCUCAUCAUAUUGCAGCAGGGACAUUGGGCAUAUUAGCGGGCUUAUUCCAUCUUAGUGUCCGCCUGCCCCAACUGUUUAUACAAAGGAUUACGUAUGGGAAAUAUUGAAACCGUCCUUUCUAGUAGUAUAGCUGCUGUCUUUUUUGCAGCUUUUGUUGUUGCCGGAACUAUGUGGUAUGGUUCAGCAAUUACCCCCAUCGAAUUAUUUGGUCCUACUCGUUAUCAAUGGGAUCAAGGAUACUUCCAGCAAGAAAUAUAUCGAAGGGUUAGUGCUGGGUUAGCCGAAAAUGAAAGUUUAUCAGAAGCUUGGUCUAAAAUUCCUGAAAAAUUAGCUUUUUAUGAUUAUAUUGGCAAUAAUCCGGCAAAAGGAGGAUUAUUCAGAGCGGGUUCAAUGGACAACGGGGAUGGAAUAGCCGUUAGGUGGUUAGGGCACCCUAUCUGUAGAGAUAAAGACGGGCGUGAACUUUUGUACGUCGUAUGCCUACUUUUUUUGAAACAUUUCUGGUUGUUUUGGUAGACGGUGACGGAAUUGUUAGAGCGGAUGUCCUUUUAGAAGGGCAGAAUCAAAGUAUAGUGUCGAACAACUAGGUGUAACUGUUGAGUUCUAUGGCGGCGAACUCAAUGGAGUGAGUUAUAGUGAUCCUGCUACUGUGAAAAAAUAUGCUAGACGUGCUCAAUUGGGUGAAAUUUUUGAAUUAGAUCGUGCUACUUUGAAAUCCGAUGGUGUUUUUCGUAGCAGUCCGAGGGGUUGGUUUACUUUUGGGCAUGCUUCGUUUGCCUUGCUUUUCUUUUUCGGACACAUUUGGCAUGGUGCUAGAACCCUAUUCAGAGAUGUUUUUGCCGGUAUUGAUCCAGAUUUGGAUGCUCAAGUGGAAUUUGGAGCAUUCCAAAAACUUGGAGAUCCAACUACAAGAAGACAAGUAGUCUGAUGCAAGAUUGCUUUGUUAUUUUUCGCUUCUACUUCUAUUUGUGAUUUGCCAUAGGCUGCUGGAAAAAUCUUGAUUUAAAUCGCUGCCUUUUCUUUGAUUCUUGUCUUUCUUUAUUUUAUUCGGGAGAUGAUUCCAAAUAAACAGGUACGAAAGCUAUAAUUGUAAACCACGAUCAAUUUAUGGAAGCAUUGGUUUAUACAUUCCUCUUAGUAUCUACUCUAGGGAUAAAUUUUUUCGCUAUCUUUUUUCGAGAAUCGCCUAAAAUUCUAACUAAAAAAAUGAAAUGAUUUUUCAUUAUCUCAAUUGAAGUAAUGAGCCUCCCAAUAUUGGGAGGCUCAUUACUUCAAUUAGUCCCCGUGUUCCUCGAAUGGAUCUCUUAAUUGUUGAGAGGGUUGCCCAAAAGUAGUAUAUAAGGCGUACCCAGUAAAACUUACAAGUAAACCAGAUAUAGAGAUGGCGACUAAGGUUGCUGUUUCCAUUAUUAUAUAAUUUCAAGAUCACAAUGGGUCUAUGAUAAGAUUGUUUAUUUACAGCGGAAUGAUAUACAAAGUCAACAGAUCUCACUGAAUACAAAAUUAGAUUUAUGGCUACACAAACCGUUGAGGGUAGUUCUAGAUCUGGUCCAAGACGAACUGUUGUAGGGGAUUUUUUGAAACCAUUGAAUUCGGAAUAUGGUAAGGUAGCCCCUGGAUAGGGAACGACUCCUUUGAUGGGUGUCGCAAUGGCUUUAUUUGCGAUAUUCUUAUCUAUUAUUUUGGAGAUUUAUAAUUCUUCCGUUUUACUGGAUGGAAUUUCAAUGAAUUAGAUUCACAAGAAUCACGAAGCCUCGCUUUUCAAUACAAAAAGUGAAACUUUUAGUUCUCGGAUUUUUUUAGCCCCAUUCUAUUUCGGUAGUUCGACCGCGAAAUUUAUUUGUUUCUGUAUUUUCGGAAUAUGAGUGUGUGACUUGUUAUAAUUGAUCCUAUUGAUAGUACAGAAAAUAGGUCUGUCAUCUUGAUCGAGAUAGUUUUAUCCCGUCGGAUAGUCAUUCUAGUAUCUGGAGCACGGAAUAUAUGAAAGGAUCACAAAGUAUUUGAACUAUGAUUCAUACUUAAUAUUCAAACCUCACGGCCGGACUCAAAAAAAAAUUCAAAGAAAGAGUUAUAUUAUUUAUAAAUCGAAAGAUUUUUUAUUCUUUCAAAAUCUCAUUUAGUUUAUGCUUAUUUUGAUCAAAGGACAAACCUUUCUUUUCUUUGUAUUUUUUAUUAUAUCUAUUCUAUUGAUUGAAUAAGUGAUGAUCCAAUGGUUCUUACUCAAAGAAUCUUUGGACUUAGUUUGAAGGUUUUAUUGAAUCAUCGCGGUUCUGGUAUGAAUCUGAAGUUUCAAUUGAUUCAUAGGGUCUUAACAAGAGAAUUCCUAUCAAAAAGAAAGAAAACAAGAAUAAAGCCACAUUUCAUACAAAGUACAAAUCAAAGCAAAGAAAAAGAAAUAAGUAGGUAAAUAGAAGAUUCAAGAGGCCUGUAACGAUCAACAUAAAGACGACUGCGCCGACUUGAUUUUUUGGCAUUAUAAUUACAACUACAAAAAAGAGCUUUCGGAUUUUCACUCUUUUGUGUCUUCAGAUAAAAUUGAAUGAAAAGAUUAAGAAGUUUCAAACUUUCUAUUCCAUAUCCGUUUCAGCUAUUACUUGGGUGUUUUUGUUUGAGCUGUACGAGAUGAAAUUCUCAUAUACGGUUCUCGGGGGGGGUCCUCUUGGUUUACCUAUCUCAAUAAAGUCUAUGAUUGGUUCGAAGAGCGCCUCGAAAUUCAGGCGAUUGCAGAUGAUAUAACUAGUAAAUAUGUUCCUCCUCAUGUUAACAUAUUUUAUUGUCUAGGGGGAAUUACGCUUACUUGUUUUUUGGUACAAGUAGCUACAGGAUUUGCUAUGACUUUUUACUAUCGUCCAACCGUUACUGAGGCUUUUGCUUCUGUUCAAUACAUAAUGACUGAAGCUAACUUUGGUUGGUUAAUCCAAUCAGUUCAUCGAUGGUCGGCAAGUAUGAUGGUCUUAAUGAUGAUCCUGCACGUAUUUCGUGUCUAUCUCACUGGUGGUUUUAAAAAACCUCGCGAAUUAACUUGGGUUACAGGCGUGGUUCUGGCUGUGUUGACCGCAUCUUUUGGUGUAACAGGUUAUUCCUUACCUCAGGACCAAGUUGGUUAUUGGGCAGUCAAAAUCGUAACAGGCGUUCCGGACGCUAUUCCGGUAAUAGGAUCGCCUUUGGUAGAGUUAUUACGUGGAAGUGCUAGUGUGGGACAAUCCACUUUGACCCGUUUUUAUAGUUUACACACUUUUGUAUUACCCCUUCUUACUGCUGUAUUUAUGUUAAUGCAUUUCCUAAUGAUACGUAAGCAAGGCAUUUCUGGUCCUUUAUAGAGAAUAUAGACCAUAGCUAUAUUGUAACCAAUAAUUUAUCUUAUUACUUGGGGGAGGAACAAUAGUAUUUCAUUGCUACAAAUAUGGAUUAUUGAAAAAAAUAAGACAUGUAUUUGGAUAUUUCCUUUCAACUACAACAAUAUUCUAUUAUUUAUUUGAUAUGACAUGAAUAGUUGAAGGGAAUUCCCCGAAGAGAAAAUGGAUUAUGGGAGUGUGUGACUUGAACUAUUGAUUGGGCCGUGCAGAAAUAUGCCUUUAUCUGCUACAUUGGAAUUCACAACCAAAUGUGUCUUUGUUUCAACCACCGUGUAAGCCCCAUACAAAGGAUAGGCUGGUUCGCUUGAAGAGAAUCUUUUCUAUGAUCAGACCUGACGAUGUUGUGUAUAAAUAGGGCUCCGUAAGAUCCAGUAGAAUAAGUGAUUUGGCAUAAUCCAAAUUAGAUUUUAGUUUUUCUUUUUACUUUCUUAUCUUAAUAGUAUGAAAAUGCAUUCAUUUCUUUUGCAUCGACCCCAUUUAAUUAUACUAUCAGAGUGAAACAAGGGAUCUAAAGAAGAGCAAAGGCUAGACUAUAUUAGUAACAAGUAAAUCCUUUGUAUGUAAAAAAUCUCGAUAUAUUUUUGGGAUAAAGGUGAAUCGCAAGGCCUAAGAUGACCCAUAAAGCACUUAAUCACGAUCAACUUUGUACGCCUACUUGGGUAUUGAGCAUUUACCUGUAAAAAUGAAAUUCCUUGGAAUGUAUAAUUGUAACUCCGUAAAAUGGAAUCGGGUACCUUUUUUCUUACAUACGGAACCAUUCAUAUAUGUGGGGAUAACAUAUAGAUUUAUUUUAAACACAUAGAAUAUAGAUUUAUUUUAUAGGUAUCCGUUUGUAUCCAUUUGAUUCGAUUGACUUUUGCUUGAGCCGGAUGAUGAAAAAUUAUCAUGUCCGGUUCCUUUGGGGGAUGGAUCUAGAAAAAUUCACCUAUCCUAAUAACAAAAAAACCUGACUUGAACGAUCCUGUAUUAAGAGCUAAAUUAGCUAAAGGUAUGGGUCAUAAUUAUUAUGGGGAACCCGCAUGGCCCAAUGAUCUUUUAUAUAUUUUUCCAGUAGUAAUUCUCGGUACUAUUGCUUGUAAUGUGGGCUUAGCGGUUCUAGAACCUUCAAUGAUUGGUGAACCCGCGGAUCCAUUUGCAACUCCUUUGGAAAUAUUACCUGAAUGGUAUUUCUUUCCUGUAUUUCAAAUACUUCGUACAGUACCUAACAAGUUAUUGGGUGUUCUUUUAAUGGUUUCAGUACCCGCGAGAUUAUUAACAGUACCAUUUUUGGAAAAUGUUAAUAAAUUCCAAAAUCCAUUUCGUCGUCCAGUAGCGACAACCAUUUUUUUGAUUGGUACUGCAGUAGCCCUUUGGUUGGGUAUUGGAGCAACAUUACCGAUUGAUAAAUCCCUAACUUUAGGUCUUUUUUAAAUUGAAUCAAUUAAAAAAAAUAUCAUGAUGUGCGUAUCUAGGGAGUAGUCACUUCAAAGGAAAAGUGAAUUCUCCCUAGAUACAUUUAUUCAAUUCUGGUCCGAAUCUAUGGAUUGUGCUGAAGGUUCAAAAUCCAUUGGAUUCAAACUUUUGAUAAAUCAAUUUCGAAAUGCUUUUUCUACUUCUUUUCUAGAAUGCCCAGUAUUUGUUUUACAUCUUCUAUGCGAAAGUGUUCAAUUUUCAUAAGGUCUUCUCAACUGUUAUUCAAAAGGUCCAAUAAUGUAUGUAUAUUGGACUUUUUGAGACAAUUAUAGAUCCUGGGAGGCAAUUCUGAUUGGUCAAUAAAAAUCGAUUUCAAUGCUAUUUCUUUUUUCUUUUUUGUUAGUUUAACUAAUCUAUCAUGAAACGGAAAAAAAGGUAAAGUAACAUCGUGUUGAUUGUUUUCUAAAUGGAAGUUUUCUUCUUCCGCAUGUAGAAAAGGAAUAAAUAAAUCAAUCAAAUUGCGAGAGGCUUCAUGAAGUGCUUCUUUCGGAGUUAAACUUCCAUUUGUCCAUAUUUCUAGAAAAAGUAUCUCCUGUUUUUCAUUAUCAUUCCCAUAACAAUGAAUACUAUGAUUCGCAUUUCGAACAGGCAUGAAUACAGCAUCUAUAGGAUAACUUCCGCCGUGAAAGUUCUUUGGCGUUUUUAUACCGUAUCCUCUAUUUCUCUCGAUUUGUAAUCCAAUACACAAAUCAAUUGGUUCGGUUAGGCUGGCUACAUGCUGUGUAUUAUCAACGAUUUCCACAGAAGGUGGUAAGAUGAUGUCUUGAGCAGUUACAUAUCCGGGACCCUUGGCACAAAUAAAGGCGUUACGAGUUCCAUACAAAUUCCCUCUCAAUACAAUUUCUUUCAAAUUCAUUAAAAUUUCAUGGACUGAUUCUUGAAUACCUACUAUGGUAGAAUAUUCGUGGGGUAUUUUCUCAGAUUUUGCACGUGUAAUGCAUGUUCCUUCUAGUUCUCCAAGCAAAGCUCUUCGCAUCGCAAUGCCUAUUGUGUCGGCUUGGCCUUUCAUAAGUGGAGACAGAAUAAAGCGUCCAUAAUAAAAGGCGCUUACUAUAUGUUCUUGAUUCAACACACUUCCACUGUCGUGUCCGAGUCGAAGUAGAGACUUUUACUUUCUCUCGAACCAUAGUAAUAUUAUUUUAUUUGAUCAGAUCAUUGAAUCAUUUAUUUCUUGAAUCUAUCCAUUCUGGAUCCAAAAAUGACCCCUCCCACGAAUUUUUCAGAUUUUGAGACACAUUCAAUAAUAUAGAAGUAUAAGUUGCCAAAAUGAAAAUAAAAAAAAAUUAGAGGGGGGUCAGUCAAACUUCUGUAAUCUGUAAUGUAACUUGAAUGAAAUAAAUAGAAUUUGAAUGAUGAAUGAAAAGAAAAUAAUAAAAUCGAAAUCAUAAUAAAAAAAAUGAAAUUCUAAAUAAUUAAAUUAAAUUAUUAAUUUUUCUAUUUAACUUUAACUUAAAUUAAAUAAUAAUAACUUAAAUUAAAUAAUAAAAAAUUCUAAAUAGACUAAAUAUAAAUAAUAACUAAAUAAUAACUAAAUAGAAAUAAUAUAUAUAAUAAUAUUAUAAGAAUAAUAUAAUAAUAGAUAAUAAUAGAUAAUACAAUAAUAGAUAGAAUAAUAAAAUAAAUAAUAUAGAAAUAUAGAUUUAUAAAUCGAAAUAUAUUAAUAUAAAUAUAAUAAUAUAAAUAUUAUUAAUUACUUAAUAUUAAUAACAAAUAAUAUAAAUUAAUAUUAAUUGCUAAUAACUUGUAAUUUGAUUAUUUGAUAAGCAUUUGAAUUGUUAUAUAAUUUCGAUUGUUAAUUGGUUUAGUAGUGGAAUUUGAUAAAAUCGCCCUGAACUGAAGAAAGUAUCUAUCCUAGCUCUGACCAAAUAUUCUUUCGUAUCAAGAAUCAAGAACGAAAAUGCGGAUAUAGUCCAAUGGUAAAAUUUCUCUUUGCCAAAGAGAAGACGUGGGUUCGAUUCCCGCUAUCCGCCCAGAGCAAUGUAUUUAAGAUAAGAGGAUAAAAGAUUCGUUAUAGUUGACUGUAAAUAGUUGACUGGAAUUGGAAUAUAAUACACCCCCUAAAAGAAAAAAUGACUAGUUAAUAGGGUCAAGUCUAAUUUUUUUUGUCAAAAAAAUGUAAUGUUGCGGGAACGGGAUUUGAACCCAUGACCUCAAGGUUAUGAGCCUUGCGAGCUACCAAACUGCUUUAUCCCGUGAUGAAAAGAAACCAAACUAAUGGACAAACAAAGAUUGAAUGCGCCCCUCUUCCAUAUAUGUACAAAUAGAAUAGCCUAUUUAUACAGAAUGGUAAAGGGGCCCCUCUAUGAUCAUCGAUCAUAGAAAUAAAUAGAAAAGGGAAGGGAUAUUUUAAUCCUUACCAACUUGAUCUUGUUGCCCCCGGCAACAAACAUGCAUGAACCAUUUCACGAAGUAUGUGUCCGAAUAGUCGAAAGUCUCGAUAGUUAGCUCUCGGUCUUCCGGUCGAAAAGCAACGUCGAUGAAGACGUGUGGGUGCGCUAUUUCGUGGUGAGGAUUGUAACUUUCCAUGAAUUUUCCAUUUCUCACUCAACGACGGAACUUUGCUUAUUUCUUUUUUUGAGGAUCGACGAAUCAAAUGAUAUUUUUGUUCCAAUUUUUGCCUCUUCUUCUCCCUAUGAAUCAAACUUUUCUUUGCCAUAAUGGUUCAGUUCCUAUUAUUAUCAAUGAUACAAGUCGGAUCCUAGAUGUAGAAAUAGAAGGGGGCAUACCCCCCUACUCCAUCGAAAGAGAUGAUAUUAUCACAGAUACAGCGCAUAACAUAAGGAAUUAACCAAAUUUGCCCGAUGUAGAGGCAAUCAAGAAAGCCGCAUAAGUAAAUAUAUAACCUACAGAAAAGUGGGCUAAUCCAACCAAUCUUGCCUGCACAAUAGAAAGAGCCACUGGUUUAUCUCUCCAUCGAAUCAAAUUAGCUAAAGGUGUGCGUUCAUGAGCCCAUGCUAAAGUUUCAAUCAAUUCUUGCCAAUAUCCACGCCAAGAAAUUAAGAACAUAAAUCCGGUAGCCCAAACAAGAUGUCCAAAUAAGAACAUCCACGCCCAGACUGAUAAACUAUUCAUACCAAAUGGGUUAUACCCAUUGAUGUAUUUUAAAAAUUUUAUCUGUCGGGACUGACGGGGCACGAACCCGCAGCUUCCGCCUUGACAGGACGGUGCUCUGACCAAUUGAACUACAAUCCCAGGGAAAUAAAGAAAAGCGUACAACAUAGAUAGUCUUACGAUUUCAUUCAAGCCAUUCUCUAUUUAGAUUUUAGAUUCGAAGCCGGGUUGUAACAAACAAAGGCGCGAGUGAUAUAUUGAUAUCCAUACGGGUAUGCACUUUGAGUGAGAGCGACGAGGAUUCCUAGUUACUAGGAAUCCUUUCGUUAUUGCCAAAUAAAUCGAUCAAUAAUCAAUUUGAAAACAAAAAAGAGUCUUCUUUUUUGUUUACUUUACUCCUUUUCUUUUCAUUAAACUUUCUAUUUAAUGAUCCUGAUAUGAAUCUAGAGCAUUAUCAAGGUCAUAAUUUAUGGGAACAACUAAAUAAAUAGAACAAAAUAAAAAACAAAUAGCGGUAGGGAUGGAUAUAUCACAAAAUUGGACUUUUUUUAUUCUUCCCUAAUUUUUUUGUUUGGAUUUUCGGGAAAACAAAAUACAAAAAAAUGGGCAUUUUAGGUUAUGGCGGAUCAGCGAAUUAUUGGGCCGAGCUGGAUUUGAACCAGCGUAGACAUAUUGCCAACGAAUUUACAGUCCGUCCCCAUUAACCGCUCGGGCAUCGACCCAGGAAGAAUCAAUUCUAGGUUUAUUGAUAAUCCAUGAUCAACUUCCUUUCGUAGUACCCUACCCCCAGGGGAAGUCGAAUCCCCGCUGCCUCCUUGAAAGAGAGGUGUCCUGAACCGCUAGACGAUGGGGGCAUACUUGCCUGACCGCGACCAUACUAUGCUCAUAGUAUGAACAGUUUUUUGAAAUUGUCAAUAUAAUGGAAUGACUAGAGCCGAAAGCUUUUUCCAUCUUUUAUGAUUUUCCAUAUUUUAUUCACGAUUUAUACUCAGUAAAUCAUUCAUUUUAAUCGCCACUCUAUUCGAUAUAGAAAUAAAUUAGAUAAAUUCAAUCUAUUAUAUAAAUAUUUAUUAGAAAUAAAUAGAUAUUAUAAAAAGAAACUAGAUUAAUAAUACAAAGUAUAAGAUCAGUGAUUGGUUUAACAUAAACAUAAAAAAGGGAGUUAACCUUCAUUUUUUCCACUUUCAUUCAUUGAUUCACUCAUUAUUACGACGAGACAGGCAUGUUUCUAUCUCACACUAAGCCGGUAAAUUAACAAAAAGUAAAUCGGGAAUUUUUGGAAGAGGCAGCAAGAAGUUAUCAAAAAUUAUGUGUGUGUUUUUUUUCUAAAAAUUGGGUUCGGUGGACAAAGCAAAUCCCUUCAUCACAUGUUUCGAUAAACUAGAUUGGAUCUAUGUCGAAUUUCUAAGGUACAUGUAUUAAUCAAAUAAAUGAAUUUCGUUCUGUUCUGAUAAGCCAAUUAUGAUUGGCCUUGAAACAGUUUAUUGCAUUGAUACAAACCCAAUAUCAAUAAAACCAUUUUACCCUCUACAUGUUAAGUAAAUUAGAAUUCUCAUUCCUAAGAGCUACUAGCCACUAUGAGUCUACUGCAUAUACUUAUAUAUAUAAAUAGAUCUUAUCCGUCUACUGAUUCAUUCAGUAAUUGAGUCGAACUGCCCUUUUAACUCAGUGGUAGAGUAAUGCCAUGGUAAGGCGUAAGUCAUCAGUUCAAAUCCGAUAAGGGGCUUUUGACUUUUUUUUCAUAAAACUCCUAUAAAAUGGUAGUAUUCAUAUUGAAACAUAAGGAUGUUGUUUUUAUUGGUAAUAAAAACCCAACUGUAUAUGUAUAAUAAUUGAGUUAGAAAUUGUAUAAUUUAACUCUAAUAAGUUAUUAUUCUAAUGAGUUAGAGUAGAGGAAUUCUAAAAGAAAGUUGAAAUUAUAAUGAAUAAUGAUAAGCCGUCUCUUGAAGCGACAAAUAUAUAUUUUGUUUUGAUUUUGAAUUAGAUUAUUCCAAUCAAAUCCAUUGUAAAGAAUUGUAAAGAUUAGAAAUCAACAAAAGAAAAAGUAAGUGGAUCUAACCCAUUGAAUCGUGACUAUAUCCACUAUUCUGAUAUUAAAAUUCGAUAGAGAUGAAAUUGGAACAGUCGAUUUCUUUUUAUUUCAUAUUUAUUUG